UUUCCCUUUCGUCCCUUCCAGAAUCCAUGAACAGACAGGUUUCGACUCGCUGAACUUAAUUCGAAAUUUGCGAAUUAGUUGAGUUAGCUUUUUCGUUUCCUUGAAAGCCAAGGCAAUGUCAUCGGUGAAGCUUCGAGUUUCAUUUUCUCUUCAUUUCCUCAGUUCUCUCAGCCGAACAGAGGCGUGAUCGUUCCUCUUUUUAUUGUCAAUGUUUUUUUUAAUGCUUGAAUUAGAAUCAUUAGGUGCUUUGAAAGCGUUUGGCACCUUUUUUUCUUAUUUGGAGCAUGUUCUAAUUGUUUUCUUAACCGUGUGUAUUAGUGUGCUAAUUUCGCGGACUCUCAGGCCUGAAAUCAAGUACGCAAAAUACGUUUCUGUGUUGGCAACCUAAAGUACUUCUUCGGUACAUUUAUUUUUAAAUCUGUAUCUCAUUGGAUAGGACGGUAAGUGCAAGCAACUUAAAGAUCAUGGUAUAUUAUGUAGUAGUGUGCCAAUGUUCAAUAAAUCUCCUUUUCCAAUUACAGAUUGUCGCAUCACUUAGAUUGUGCCUUUGUUUCACACUACUGUCAUGUGUUUAAGCGUAAUAUUUGCAUUUCCUAUACUUCGAUGCAACGAGCGUGAACAUUAGACAAUAUGGUUCGUAACUUACGAUUGUGCACCAUAUAUCAGACUCUAGGUAUAUGUUACGAACCAAAUCCAAACCAUAUGCAUACUCCCACAAAAAAUGAUAUAUCCUACAUCCACAUCCCACUCUUAUCCUACUAUGUUACACGGCAUCACUCAUCAACCUCUGAAUAUGUUAUUUGAAAAAAAAAAAUUUGAUCUAAUGGUUGACAAAUGAUGUCGCGUCAGCACAGUGUGAUGAGAGUGGAAUAAGAAUGUAAUAUAUAACACUACUACAAAAGGAGUAGUCGAGGUUACAAUUGGAGCCUUUUGGAUUCAUCCUCCUAGGCACUAUUGGAUCUCUUUCACCACUCUUUCCCUCCUAUACUCAAUAUGGCAUGCUACAAUCUCCCCACCUUAAAUAUUCAACAUUCUUAUCAUAUCAUUUAGUUAUGGGCGGCACAGCUCGACACUUCUAGAUGGGAAUUGGCUUUGAUAUCAUCUGUAAUGGCCCAAAAAAAGUCGAAGUCACAUUUGAGCUUGUACUCCAAAAUGACUAAUCAAGGUCACAAUUAAAACUUCUCGAAAUCAUUAUAAACUACAGUAACUUCUCUCUCCCGAGCAAUGUGAGAUUUCAUUCACCUCAAUUUCGUUCCUAUACUUAAUUCUGAGUAUUACAUUAGGGAUACAAAAAGGCAGGUUUUUACUCAUUUUCCAUAAUUUUAUUUCGGCAUGCAAGAUGUGUUGGCUCCACAUAUAUCCUUGUUCCUACGAGUAGGUAUUCUGUUUUCAUCGUCAGCUUGAAAUUGAGGUGAUUUGGUAGGAUUAAACUCUAGACAGGUUUAGGAAUAACGAUAGUUUUGUUUUCAGAGGGGAGAAGGUCUAGAAAUUGCAAGUUAUUGCAUUAGCAAAACUUGUGUGAUGACAAGAGGUAGUAGUUAUCAACAUACAAUGCAAAUGGUGGUUGAAGAUUGUUCACAAUGUUUGGUGUGUGUAGGUGUGUGACAACAAGAGGCAAUUACCCUAUCAACAUACAAUGCAUGGUUUUAAUGUGUUUUGAUAUUAAAUUGUUGUAACUUGAGUGUUUCUACCCGCAUGGUAUUUCAGCCUUAACUCUUAAGUGGUUGAAGAGAAUUUAUUGUUCGCAAUGGCUUCUAACUUGUGUGCUUCUGUGCACAUCUUGUAUUUUUGUGUGUGCAUGUGUACGUUGCUUCAUUAUAUAUAUAUUUUUUAUUGGCACUGGGUGUCCGGGAACAGCAUCUCAACUAAUCCCAAGGUUGGACAGGCCCUCGACAAGGAGUUUCCCGCGAGUGCACCUCGGGUAAUUCAAGGGACAAAUCCCCCAGUCCGAUGGCCCUUAAAGAUUGUUUGCACCCACGGGGAUUUGAACCGUAGACCUUGGGGGAGCUUCAACCUUUCAGUUUUGCAUCAAACUUGUUGGAGAUUGUAUAAAUCAUAACCAUAACUUUUGCAGUUUGAUCUGAGAAUGGCAUUUGUCUAUCCUUCCUAGCCAACUGCAAAAUUUGUAACUUUUACUGGGACCUCCUCUUUUUCACUUAUAGUACUAAUGCAUAUUUUUAAUUUGGACAAAACAUUAUAUAUCUUGAUGCAUUGAAGAGGUUAAGACUCUUCAUAAAUAGAAGUCAUGCACCCACUCGCCUAUGAGGCCGAAAUACAUUGAAGUGAGUUUAGUGUUUGGUUUUCAAUAACUGACGGAAUCAUAGGUGCUUAAAAAAAUAGUGUGGUUGGUUCUUAGCAGCAGCAUCUCUAGUAUUUUCUCUGGUGCACGAGGUACAAAUUUAGUUGCUUGUGGUGAUUCUACAAAUUCAAUUUUACUGGAGCAUUAGUAAUCUGAUGCACAGGGAAGCAAAUUUGUUGAUUAUAAAAUGGAGUUUUAGUUACAUUAAUGUCAGCAUUCUCUGUAGUAAUGCUGACUUGGAUUAAUCUUCCUCCUGCAUAAAUGUUUUAGGGGGUGUCUAUAUUUUGUAGUGAGGAGGAUGCUGAUUAUACAAAUGGCAUUGUCCUUGUAAUCAGGAACAAGAGUGGAGAAGAGUAAGGGUAUGAGUGGUGAGAGAAUUUCAUCUCCUUGGACAAAGUGGAAUCCACAUUAUAUCUGCUAUUUAGUUGAGUUUACGUAAAACCUUGGUUUGAUUCCCUAUAUUGUCGGGAAUAUUGAUGAUUUUUUGGAGUUGCUUCUCUAGUUGCCAUCGUAGUACUUACUCCCCUUUUUUUUUUCUUCUUGUGUUUUUGUUGGCCACGCAAGGGAGAUGAUGACCUUCAUCAAGCACAAAAUCAUAGCUAGAGUGCCUCAUUUCAAGUCCUAUAAUUGCUUGACAAUUUCUAGUAUCAUCAUAACUGCUGUGGCUUUGAAUAUAGCUCUUGUUGUUGUUGACUUGGGCCACACGGAUCUACACUGCAAGCUGAAAAUGGAUGCAAUUGUUGUUGUUACCGCAUAUUUAGGUUAAUGUACAAGGAAACUGAUCAUUCUGAUCAUAGUUAAGCUGUGUUUUAGUUUUUUUUUAUAAGUGUUAAGCUGUGUUUUAGUAGAAAGUUCAUUGUCUAAUAUCUUUAAAAAUAGUGGAUUUUUUUCGUAUUGUUUGCUUUCAAGGAAGAAAAUUUUUGGAUGAUUGGUUGCCUUAGGUAUUUUCUUCCGCUCAUCUAUGUGAAUGAGCUGAUCUAUGACGUGCGAGAACAACGGUUUAUCUUUAUGUAAAUGGUUAUAAUAUCUUAACUUCUUGGUAAAGAAUGCCUCGUAUAAAAUGUCUCUCCUGCAUCAUAAGGGACUUGACUCUCGACAAAGACACAUGAUCAUGACUGUGGGCAGAGGCUAGCUAAGCUAAGGGCAGGCCCUCACAGAGAUCUGAAAAAGAAAUGAUAAUCUAAGCAAUUUCCUUUCCCAGGGGCAUAGCUAUAAGGCCACACUUUGAUCUUGGCCCCUGAAUGUUGGCCACAAUGCAUCUGAGAUGGCAAUGCCGUGCCACUUCACUAGUCUCAUAAAGCCAGCCUUUUCCAGCUGUCAUACACUAAGGCUAGCUUCAGGGAAGAUUAUGGCAGAUGAUAAAAGGAAUGGACAAGAGGAAGAGAAAGAAAAAGAAGGAAAAGAAAAGGAAAGGCCAAAGAAAACAGUGAUGAUGGUGUUGUCGAAAAAGUGUCAAGAGUGAAUAAAUGAAGAAGGUAAAAGGUACAUAAAACUCGUGUAUAUAUAUACCAAUACCGAGUACAAAAGUUUGAGAAGGACUUUUGAGUUUCUGUUCACUGUCUUUUAUUUCCUCUUUCCAUGUUAUCCUAAUAUUGAC